rnacentral:misc_RNA from 1 species
GUCAACCCCGAAAAAGAAAAGAGAAAAGAAAAGGUGUUAAUAGUGAUAUUUUCACAUCAGCAAAGCAAAAUAACAUAAGCAAGAAAUGAAAAGGCAUUCAGGGUCCAAUCCACUGUUAAGGAUAUUACAGAUAUAAGCAAAACGUUUUAACUUUCAGAAAGGUUUUGAAGCAAUUAACUUGAGUAAACCCACCUUAGCUCACCAUAAAAUUAAUUAACGGACAAAUCUUUACCUGUGCCAACCCUGAGCUGGG